rnacentral:tRNA from 1 species
UAUUAGAUAGUUUAUUUAAAACCUAAUACUGAAGAUAUUAAAAAGGUCAGUCCUCUAAUAU